rnacentral:tRNA from 2 species
GGUGAGGUGGCGGAGUGGUCGAACGUGGCGGUCUUGAAAACCGUUGUANCGAAAGCUACCGUGGGUUCGAAUCCCACCCUCACCG